rnacentral:rRNA from 1 species
AAGAGCAUGUAGGCGGAUUGAUAAGUUUGAAGUGAAAUCCUAUAGCUUAACUAUAGAACUGCUUUGAAAACUGUUAAUCUAGAAUGUGGGAGAGGUAGAUGGAAUUUCUGGUGUAGGGGUAAAAUCCGUAGAGAUCAGAAGGAAUACCGAUUGCGAAGGCGAUCUACUGGAACAUUAUUGACGCUGAGAUGCGAAAGCGUGGGGAGCAAACAGGAUUAGAUACCCUGGUAGUCCACGCCCUAAAC